AUUCAAAAAAUAAAAAGAACGCGCAUUCCAGUAAGUAUCUCUCACCAUAAGUAUCAGAAACUAUGAAGGACAACAAGCGCAAUCCAGUAAUUGAUAACACUCGAUGAUAGUUAAGAAAAUUCAUAGUCCUCACUCGAUGAUAGUAAGAAAGUAAAGAAAAUUCAUAACCCUCAUACAGGCUUGCGGAUUUGGUUAGCUUCCGACUUCUAUCUUGCUUGCUAAUGUACAAUAUAGUUCAUAGAAGUGCUGGGGAGAAAAAUAGGAUUUUUUUUUUUUUUAAUCAGCUUAGGUAAGCCUAUAGAUCGAUGCUAAACUCAAACCUUUUCCCUUCAAUUUGUUCAUUCAUAAACAUUAACAAAUUUUAAGCAAUAAAAGCAGGAAAAAAUGAUGUUAACAUUGAAUGAGGUACAAAUUCAUUAGCUUGAGGACACCUCAGAGACUGGCCGACGCAAACCAGAAUAAACUGCU
rnacentral:misc_RNA from 1 species